GCUUGAACCCCACCGUCCAGAAGGAAAGUCACCACGGGGCAGCUUUUCACAGCCCUAAGGCGUGGUCACUUCAAGCCCACAGCGAGUUGCUCGUGUCCUCGGCUUCUGCUCCGCAAAUCUCGGACGAUGCCACCGGAGGACGCUGAAGGCAAAGGCUGGUGGGGCCAGGCGCCGGCGAGACUGCCGCGCUAGCACAGCUUCCGCGGGAGCCGAGUGCUGACGGGCCUCGCGACCCCCUCCCGAGGGCAAACGGCUCGGCCCUCCAGGGACACUUGGUCAGUGUCACUCUCUCCCUACCGGGUGUCGCGCAUUUUCUCAACAGAACGUGACCCCGUAGACGGAUGAACUCGGAAUCGGCAAAACCCGCCUGCCCUUGUCUAGUCUCUCUGCCCCACCACACCACUGCCCUUCACUGCGGACUGCGCCGUGUGCGCUCCGGGACCGCCCCUGCACCUUUGCCCACAGCUUCCCAUUACCAAGGCAGCCGGAGGAAGACCUUUCCGAGUUACCUGUCUCACGUCAGCAGCCACACCGAGGCGGUCCCCCUCGCACCACUCCCCAAGUGCAGAGCCCCUGAAAGUCCGAGGCUCCUGUGCCACGCACCCUCCCCCCUGCGGGGCGACCCCGCGUAUGCGUGUGUGUGUCACGCGUUUAAUCGCACAGAGUAAUUCCCAGACGUGCAAGACAAAGCAUUUCAAGCAAAGAUGGUCCAGAGUUCAAAUUGGAAAGCACAUCUCGAGGCGCUGAAUCUGUUCUCGCCGUCUGCCUCGGUCUCUGGGGCGUCGCAUCCAGGAGAAGGGUUUUAACUCCCUGCCAGAUCCGCUCGGAAUUAGCUCUUCUGGCGGUGCAGCAACAAGUGGCCCCGCCGCCUCCCUUGUGCACUCGGAGGGACUACAUCCUCCUCCUCUCCCAGCCCCUAGUCCAAACGGGAGUAGGUAAUGGCGGGGAAAGGGGGAGGUGACGAGAGCGGGGAGAAGGAAGUACAUAUUUUUUAAUUGUGAAAUUGUCUGUCUGCGUGCUGUGCUCUGGGAUUCUCUUGUCUCAAUCAACUUCAAUUUUAACGUGGCCGUAACGUUAAGAUUAAGACCUAGAAAUGAAAAC
rnacentral:lncRNA from 1 species